UACAGAGGUCUCAAGCGUUGUUCGGAUUUACUGGGCGUAAAGGGCGCGUAGGCGGCGCAACAAGUCACUUGUGAAAUCUCCGGGCUUAACUCGGAAAGGUCAAGUGAUACUGUUGUGCUAGAGUGCGGAAGGGGCAACUGGAAUUCUCGGUGUAGCGGUGAAAUGCGUAGAUAUCGAGAGGAACACCUGCGGCGAAGGCGGGUUGCUGGGCCGACACUGACGCUGAUGCGCGAAAGCCAGGGGAGCGAACGGG
rnacentral:rRNA from 1 species